GAGGAAUAUUGGUCAAUGGACGGAAGUCUGAACCAGCCAAGUAGCGUGCAGGAUGACGGCCCUAUGGGUUGUAAACUGCUUUUGUAUGGGGAUAAAGUUAGGGACGUGUCCCUAUUUGCAGGUACCAUACGAAUAAGGACCGGCUAAUUCCGUGCCAGCAGCCGCGGUAAUACGGAAGGUCCAGGCGUUAUCCGGAUUUAUUGGGUUUAAAGGGAGCGUAGGCUGGAGAUUAAGUGUGUUGUGAAAUGUAGACGCUCAACGUCUGAAUUGCAGCGCAUACUGGUUUCCUUGAGUACGCACAACGUUGGCGGAAUUCGUCGUGUAGCGGUGAAAUGCUUAGAUAUGACGAAGAACUCCGAUUGCGAAGGCAGCUGACGGGAGCGCAACUGACGCUGAAGCUCGAAGGUGCGGGUAUCGAACAGGAUUAGAUACCCUGGUAGUCCGCACAGUAAACGAUGGAUGCCCGCUGUUGGUACCUAGUAUCAGCGGCUAAGCGAAAGCAUUAAGCAUCCCACCUGGGGAGUACGCCGGCAACGGUG
rnacentral:rRNA from 1 species